UACGAAGGAUGCAAGCGUUAUCCGGAUUCACUGGGUUUAAAGGGUGUGCAGGUGGGGGUUAAUGAAGUCAGUGGUGGAAAGACCCCCGACUCAAUCGGGGGAAACUGCCCAUAGAUACUGGUUAUUCUUGAGUGAUGGUUGAUGGCGGAUGGAAUGAUGACAUGUAGCGGUGAAAUGCUUAGAUAUGAUCAUAGAACACCAUCGCGAAGCAGU
rnacentral:rRNA from 1 species